rnacentral:rRNA from 1 species
CAGCCGCCGCGGGAAUACGUAGGUGGCAAGCGUUGUCCGGAAUCACUGGGCGUAAAGCGCACGUAGGCUGCUUUGUAAGUCAGAGGUGAAAGCCCGGGGCUCAACCCCGGAUGUGCCUUUGAGACUGCAGAGCUAGAACGUCGGAGAGGUGAGUGGAAUUCCGAGUGUAGAGGUGAAAUUCGUAGAUAUUCGGAAGAACACCAGUGGCGAAGGCGGCUCACUGGACGACUGUUGACGCUGAGGUGCGAAAGCGUGGGGAGCAAACAGGAUUAGAUACCCCUGUAGUCCCUGUCUCUUAUAC